AGUGAACGCUGGCGGUAGGCCUAACACAUGCAAGUCGAACGGCAGCACAGUAAGAGCUUGCUCUUACGGGUGGCGAGUGGCGGACGGGUGAGGAAUACAUCGGAAUCUACUUUUUCGUGGGGGAUAACGUAGGGAAACUUACGCUAAUACCGCAUACGACCUACGGGUGAAAGCAGGGGAUCUUCGGACCUUGCGCGAUUGAAUGAGCCGAUGUCGGAUUAGCUAGUUGGCGGGGUAAAGGCCCACCAAGGCGACGAUCCGUAGCUGGUCUGAGAGGAUGAUCAGCCAGACUGGAACUGAGACACGGCCCAGACUCCUACGGGAGGCAGCAGUGGGGAAUAUUGGGCAAUGGGCGCAAGCCUGAUCCAGCCAUACCGCGCGGGUGAAGAAGUCCUUCGGGUUGUAAAGCCCUUUUGUUGGGAAAGAAAAGCAGCAGGUUAAUACCCCGCUGUUCUGACGGUACCCAAAGAAUAAGCACCGGCUAACUUCGUG
rnacentral:rRNA from 1 species